rnacentral:lncRNA from 1 species
UUUAAUACAAGGAAGAAUUGAUGUUUUCAAAGACGAUGAGCGUCUACAAACCGGAAAAUCAAUUUCUGACGAACUACCAAAAGCCAUAGAAGAGUCUAAAUUUGCUAUAGUGAUAUUUUCUGAAAGCUAUGCAUCGUCAAAAUGGUGUUUAGAUGAGCUUGCACACAUUAUGAAAUGUCAAAAGGAAUUGAAACAAAUUGUAAUUCCUAUUUUCUAUAAUGUGGAUCCAUCAGAUGUGCGUCAUCAAACUCAAACUUUUGCUGAGUCUUUUUCCCAACAUGAGGAAAAAUACAAAGACGAUAUCGAGAAGAUUCAAAGAUGGAGGGAAGCAUUUGAGGAGUCUGGGAAAAUAUCAGGGUAUCAUUUGCAAAAUUACAAGUAAGAUUACUUCUCUUUGUCUUUUUAACUGUCAAGUCAAACGUGCCAUAUAAAUUGAGUCAAAGAGAAUAUUUAAUUUGAUUUCUAAAGUUCGAUCUAAAUAGUUGUUCUUUUCAUUGUUACAUUUAGGGAUGAGGCAGAUUGCAUCAAAAAGGUUGUUGAAAGACUAAUGUCAGCAUUACAUAUUGAAUCUGAUGACGAUGAUGAUGAUGUCCGUGCCUUCAUACGGGGCAUGGACAAUAACUCUCCAAUUCUUAUCGAUGGAGGCAAAAUGGUAUUAUUUCGUUUAUAAUUUGAAUCCUCGUAGUGAAAUUUGAUAGAUAUCUAUCUUAUCACGUCCAUUAAGUACCUAGUUGCUAGUUUCAAAAUUGUGUGUUAGUUGACCCUUGAAAAUAUUGUUUCAAUUAUCAAUACAAAAUCCUAUUUAGUAAGUAAUAUAAUGAUCAAUAGUCUUUAAAAUACCAAAUAUUAUGUAUACAUGUUUUUUUAUAAAUGAUUAAUUCACACUUGACAUAUGUCCACAACUAAAUUUACAUAUUCAAUUAUAGUUUUAUUCUUUUAUUGCGUUAGUUUCGUAAAUACUAGAAUUUAGAUUAAUAAAUAACUAAUUGUUAAUGAAAAGGACCAAUGUCUAUGUGUACCGUGCUAUGUGUAUGAGUGGAACUGUGAAAGUCAUGUCAAGUGGGCAGGGUCAGUCCAUGACCGAUCCAACCCGACCUGAUAAGAAAGGGCGAGUGAUCACUAGCCUGCCCCAUUCAUAAGGGUUGUUGGGUGGUCAGGGUCCAGGCGCAGGCCACCUACUAGCUUGGCCCAUUCAUUAGGAUUGUUGAGUGGUCUCUAUAGGACCUUUUUCGAUUUGUUUUCUAAUUUAUGAUGUCCUAUGUUUGUGAUUUGUCUUGUCAAUCAGAGUUUUUCGUUAGAUAAGAAGAGGAAGAAAUGUUUUAUGAUAGCAGCAAGGGGACUUGAUAUUGAAUGGAGUGAUAAACCAAAGUAUUGGAAAUGGUUAUCUCACUCUGACUCCAGGUUUUAUAUAUUCGCAGUCCCUUUCCAUAUUUUAGUAUAAAAAUUGAAAUAAAUCAGUAAUAAUUAUUGAGCAAGGUUAAUUUUUAUUUUUUUAGAUUCGCGGAAGUGGCUAAACUCAAGAAGGUCUAUUGGCUUGAAAUUCAAGGCAAAAUUGAUUCUCGAAGACUAUCAAAAAGAACUAAAUAUGUUGUGUAUCUAGUGUUCAAAUUGGAAAAUCAAUUCUAUGGCCUUGAAACUGUUAAUGCAGUUGUAAGAUUUGUUGAUUCUAUGAGUAAAAAAGAUGCGGAGAAACGAGCUAGUGUUGUGCAUUUUGCAGGACGAGGACCUAGAGAAACGCUACCCUUCGAAAGAGCUGAUGGAUGGAUGGAAUUAAAAAUGGGAGACUUUUUCAAUGAUGCAGGAGAAGACGGAUAUGUUGAUGCGCGAUUAAUGGAAACUAAGAAACUCGAUGAAAAAAGUGGCCUCAUUGUUCAAGGAGUGGAGUUUCGUCCCGAAUGAAGAAGAGAAGAAUCCUCCUCUUACUAUCCCCUUUUGUUUUGGUCUCAUUUUGAUAGAUUCAAGUACUUCUAUAUAUAUAUGGCCCUUCUAGAGGAACGUACUGAUAGAGAAAAUAAAAUUUGAUUAGACAAUGUGUGUUUGUAGUAAGGUCGAUUUUUUAAACAUUUUAAUAUGAGUCUACAAGAUUUAGUUUCGUUCAAGUGUCGAGCUUAUUUGCAUCGACAUCUAGCUAGUUUAACAAAAUUCAUGUACUUUGGUUAUUUGUGUUUGUGUUCGAUCCUUGGUUAAAAUGACGCACUGGAAUUUUUUUACAGUCCAAAAGUGGCGCUACAUUUUUGUUUUAGAAGAGAACAUAAUAACAUUAUGAGUAUCUAUUUCUUCCCAAGUAACUUAAAACAAAUCAAAGCUUAAAUACUAUGAUCUUUAAUUUCCAUCUCAAAUUAUAUCUCAUGAUUUUUUAAAAAUAACUAUCUCAAGUUUUUUGUCAUUUUAGGAGUUCAAGAUAAAAUUAAUUAUUAUUUUCAUAUAUACAUAAGCAGAGAAAAUAUUUAAUUUAAAGAGAUUAUAUAAAUAAGUAGAGAAAUUUUAUCUGAUGCCGUAGGCUGGCAAUUAACCUCUAUAUUAUACAUGGGAGGGUGCCCGCCUAGUGUCAUUGUGCAUGUAUUAGAUCUCGCACAAGUAAUGUCAUAUUUUAUGACUUGAAAUAGGAAGAUGAUAAGAAGUUCUCAUAAAGACUAUGAAUAGUCUUUACGAUGCUUUUAUGAGUUUUAGAGGUGAAGAUAUGCGUAGAACAAUAGUUUUUAGAUUCAAACGAUAAGAACUUUGACUAACAUUUACGAUGUAUUUUUUAUCAUAUUGAUAUGCAAAAAAUUGCAAUUUAUAGUACUUUUCGUAUAGUUUUUGAAUAUCUAAAUUUUUAGUUUAAAAUAUUGAAUUAAUAUUGUAAUGACCCUCCUGGUCAUUUCUAUAUCUUGCCUUUUGUGUGUCGUUCAGAGCGUUCCUGUAGCGACCCCAAGUCAUUUAUGACUUGCUGGGACUGACAGUUCGGUCACCUGGUCGUUCGUUUGGUUAUGGUGUGAGUUUUCGUGUUUUGGAGCUUAUGAACCUUGAACGAUCAUUUUCGAUCAAAAGUUUGAGAAGAUGACACUGGAAUCCAAUUCUGACGAUUCCAUCAGCUCCGGAAGGGUCAUUUUAGGCGAGUAGCAUGGUCGACAUGACUCUCGAGGUUUUCAGUGUGAGUCGGUGCGAUUAGGCGUUUUAACUUUAAGUUUAAGCCUAAGUUUGACUUUGGUCAACAUUCUGAGUAAACGCGCUCGGAUGAGAAUUCCGUCAGCGUGGUUAGCUCCGGAAUGUCGAGUUUGGUCUGGGGACUCCAAAUCACUAUCCGAGCUCACCAACACGUUGUCCUCGAAAAAUCUCACAACUUAGCCUUUUGGAUCGCCCAAAUCGGUUGAGAGAUGAGAGAAUUAUGAGGGUUUGAAAUUUGGGAAAUGUUGCUGAUUUUCUGCAAUUUAUUGCAGAAAAUCAGCCACAUUUCCCAAACUUCAAACCCUCACAACUCUCUCAUUUAAAGUCCAAAUUCAGUGAUUCAAAGGAUCAUUUUGUGAGGUUUUUCGCAAGGAACGUGUUGGUGAGCUCGGAUAGUGAUUUGGGGUCCCAGUUUGAGGUAAUUUUCGUAAAAUACCUGCUGCCACGACCUUUUUUAUGAGCUUAAUUUUGGAAAAUUUUGAGACUUGUUUUCUUAGCCAUUCUAGGUCCGAUUUCAAUGAUUUUUGAGGCUAUCUUGAGUGGUUUUUUGAGGAGAACGUCGUGGUGUUGUCACAUUUCACUGUAGACCUCCAGUUUCUGGUAAUAUACUGAUUCAUCUACUGUCUCAUUUCUAGUUUUUGAGAAAAUUUGGGUUUUGGUUGCAUGUUGAUAUUGUGUUGUUCCCGAGUCCCGAAUUGUGUCCCAUUUUGGGACAUGAGCUGGGGGAACUGGUUAGGACCCACUUUUGGGGUUAAUUCCGGAAUUUCCAGUGCGGGUCCCACUUUCCCCGUUUUGACCCUGAAAUUGGUCCGUCUCCAUUUAUUGUGAUUUCAGUGUCUAAAUGACCGUAAUAAUGUUGUGACACUAUUUUUGAUAGCGGGGCAGCGUUACAUGGACGUUCGAAAAGGGAAAGCUCCAGAGAAGUGAUUUUGGAGAACGUAUGAUCGACCUACAGGUAGGCUACGGUUUCCCUUUCUUAGAUUGAGCUUGAGAGUGUGAAUGCAUGUUGAUUAGUUGGGAUUUGGGUUGGUAGUGAUUGAAUCAUGCAUAGGUGUUUAGAAAUCAUGUUUUCGGCCUAUUUUGGGAAUUAUUGGAUAGCUGUGAGCAUGCUUUGUGUUAUUAAUUGUCUCUCUUUUCUAUGUGGAGUACUUGUAUGCUCGAUGACUAUUUGUUGAAGCAUUUGGGCCGUAGUUUAGGUUUGACUAGGGUUUGCCUUAGAAAUACAUGAUUCAGAUCCGAUAAGCCUUAGUUUUGCCCCGACGCCACUCGAUCGACUUAGAUCCCUGUAGACUGGUGUAGUAGACUUGAGUCUGAUAGUUUGGGCAUUAGCUAGGCGAUACGUUUGCUCCGAUGAUAGUUAUCCUUAUUUCCCCGAUGUUACAGCUUCAAGAGUUACGUCGGUGACACUAGUUCUGCUUAGCGAUUUGAAUUUGAUUUUCGAUUCGAUUUCCAAGGACUUACAUUGAUUGGCUAGGUGUGGACAGCGAUCCACGGACAUUUAUGAGAAUAGAUCGAUUGGGACUCUUUCAGCAACUACAUUGGCACCUCUAUAAAGCAUCCGGUUAAAGUUCCGGCCUCUAUUGCCCAGAUACUUAUAUAUAGCAUCCGGUUAGAGUUCUGGCCUCUAUUGCCCAGAUACUUAUAUAGAGCAUCCGGUUAUAGUUCCGGCCUCAGAUACUUGAUACUUGUGAUUAGUUAGUUGGGUACUUCUGGUGAGCAUCCGGUUCGAGGUCCGGCCUCCGUACUGUUAUAUUUUACUAAUUAGGGUUGAGGUUCUGCUUCGAUGUUCUCCGUUCUUGGGUUCUUAUAUGCAAUUCCCUUUAGUUAUAGUUGUUCUGUGUACUCGUCGGGCUUAUGGGGGUCCGUUCGGGUUUUUAUUUAACUUGCGCACGAGUGUACCUUCUGGGCUUAUGGGGGUCCAGUUAGGAUAGUUAGCUUAUAUAUUACUUUAGUUAGUUCUUUCUACACUCGUGUGCAUUCCAAUUUUAGUUAGAUUUCCGUUCUUGACCUCUGUUUGUGUUAUUCCUUCUUUUCAUACUGUCUUUACUUUUCAAGUUCAGUCGGCCUAUGAUGCCUACUGGGUACCUGUUGUUUUGGUACUCAUGCUACGCUCUGCAUCUGUUUUGUGAUGCAGGUUCGGGCACUAGUAGCCAGCGUUGAUCGAGCUUAGAGCAGACUGAUCCGGAGACGGGAGUGAGCACACGGUCGUUUUGUACUAUUUCAGUCUCUAUCUGUAUAUAUAGACUUGUCUUUUACCUUCCGAGACAGUCCAAUCUCUGUUGUCCACUUUUGGGACUUGUACUCAUUUUGUAGUAGCUCUGUACUGUGACUUCCAGGUUCUGGAGGUAAUCUUUAUUUGUAUAUAUGUUUUGGUUUGCUUCUGCCUGUUUAUAUUGUUAUUUGCCUACUCUUGUUUAGUUUCUACCCUCAGACCCAUUACUUGUUGUUCCGGGUUACGGGCUGGCUUACCUGCUGGUGGGUUAUAGUAGGUGCCAUCAUGACUUGAGAAAUCAGGUCGUGACAAAUAUAAUCUAAUUUAACUUUGAAAAUUAGUCAAAUUAACUUUCGAAAAACGUAAUAUUACAACGAAAAAGGAACGGAGGGAGUAUCAAACAUAUGGUAUUACUUAAUUGUGCGAGAUCUAAUAUACGACGACGUACACUUAGAGGUCGUUUGAUAGGGUGUAUAAAAGUAAUGUUAAAUAGAGUGUAUUAGUUAUGCUUGUAUGCACUAUACAUAAAUUAUUUUUUAUUCAUUGUUUGGUUUGGUGUACAAAAAAUAACAUGAAUUGCAUAAAAAAUAUUUAUUUAUAAAAAUAUCCUCCACAAUUAGGAUGGAAAAGAUGUAAAAAGGAGUUUUGAGGGGUAAUUGAGUUUUUAACCAUACUAAUGCAUGUAUUGAAUCUCUUUGUGUUACUAAUACCUAAAAAUCAAUGAUAUUAGUAAUACAUUCUUUCAUACACAAUAAAGUGUAUAACUAAUGCGUGCAGAUAAGAUACUACUAAUACACAAAGUUAAUGCGUGCAUUAUUUUUGCUAAUACACUUUGCCGACACCACAAGACUUUUGUUGGCUAAGUCAAAAGUCUUCUUAGCUGUAUUUUGUACGACCUCAUUAAUGUAGGUUACAUUUUCAUGACUUUGAAAUUGAAACAUGAUAAGAACAUAAAGACUAUGAAUAAAUAGUGAAAAGAAUUGGUGAAGUGUUGUUCUUCAUUAAGUUGAGAAUUUCCCUAUUAGUUUUUGGCAAUUGUAUAACUAAUAUUCUUCAACAAUGUCACACACUUCUUCUUCCAAAAUUCAAAAGUACGAUGCUUUUCUGAGUUUUAGAGGUGUAGAUAUACGUAGAACAUUUGUGAGUCAUCUCUAUAACGCUUUAAUACAAGGAAGAAUUAAUGUUUUCAAAGACGAUGAACGUCUGGAAACUGGAAAAUCAAUUUCUGAUGAACUACCAAAAGCCAUAGAAGAGUCUAAAUUUGCUAUAGUGAUAUUUUCUGAAAGUUAUGCAUCGUCAAAAUGGUGUUUAGACGAGCUUGCACACAUCAUAAAGUGUCGAAAGGAAUUCGACCUAAUCGUAAUUCCUAUUUUCUAUAAUGUGGAUCCAUCAGAUGUGCGUCAUCAAACUCAAACUUUUGCUGAGUCUUUUUCCAAACAUGAGGAAAAAUAUAAAGAUGACAUGGAGAAAAUUCAAAGAUGGAGGGAUGCUUUUGCGGAAUCUGGGAAAAUAUCGGGGUACCAUUUGCAAAAUUACAGGUAAGAUUACUUUUCCUUUUCUUAUUACUCUCUGACAGUUCCAAUUUAAGUCUCUUAAUUUGACUGGAAAUGAAGUUAAAGAAAAUAAAGAGAUUUUUUUAUCUUAAACAAAGAAUAUAGAAAAAAGGCACUCUCUUGUGGACAAAUCAAAAAGGAAAGUAAAGACACUUAGCUUCCAUAUGGACAUGAAAUCCCAAAUUAUAUAUUAUUUCUUUUAGAAAAUUUGAAAUUUCAUAUCAUGAAUCAAAAUUGCAUGUGCAAACACAAAUUUGAAAUAAUGAUUUCAUAUCAAAUAUCCAUAUAUAAGCAUAAACUGAGUCAAAGGGAGUAGUAUUUUUUUAGCUUUGCCCUCAUGGGUAAUUCAAGAAACAUAGUGUCUUUAUGGUUGUGCAAGAAUAAUUAUAAGCAAUAAAAUAAGGCAUAGAAUAUAAUAAAAGAGAGCAUACACUAGGGUGCGAACUCUAAUCUUAUAUUCUCAUUGUUUCAAUUUAUGUGACAAAUUUUCUUUUUAGUUCAUUCAAUAAAAAGAAUAUUACAUUUCUAUAAUCAUAUUAGAUUAGAAAUAAGGAUAUUCGUAAUAAAAGAGAGUGACCUCCAUGGAGGACAAGAUGAAGGAAGCAAGACCGAGAUGGUUUGGACAUGCAUAUGAAAAGGAGAUGCACAGAUGCACCAGUGAGGAAGUGCAAGAGGUUGGUUAUACAAGGUACGAGGAGAGGCAGAAAUAGGCCAAAAAAGUAUUGAAGAGAGGUGAUAAGAUAGGAUAUGACCCAUCUUCAGGUUACUGAGGACAUAACCCUAGACAGUGGCGGAUCCAGGAUUUAGACUCCGUGGGUGCCAAAUAGACUUAUCGAUUAAAUUAAUUUUAUAUUUGAUUAAAUUAUUCGUCUUUUCGAUAUAAAUUAAUUUUAGUUCUCUAAUUUUUCUUAAAAGAACGUGUGCAACAAUUUCCUUUUUCUUAAAAAAACGUCUUUCUCAAAAAAAGGUACAAAUGGGAUUCGAACCCGCAACAUCAGCCUUCUAAAGUUGCCCUCCUACCGUGGCACCACAAGCCAAUUUUGUUCUGUGGGUGGCACGCUUUAUAUAAAUAUAAAUAUUAUAUAAAUAUACCUAUGUAUAUAUAGAGUUUCCGUCGAAGUUCGGGGGUGGCGUGGCACCCCCACACUCCUUAAUAGAUCUGCCUCUGACCCUAGAUAAGAGGAUGUGGAGGACACGUAACUCAUAAGUGCAAUAUGAAAGUAUAUAAACAGAGAAAGUACUGCAACAUUACACAAUAGUGUUGGGUUCAUAACAGUUGGUGUUUGUCAUUGUCAUUAUACUAGUAUUAAUUAUUGUAGUUCUUGUUUUUGUUAUUUUGAUUAAUAUCGCACUAUUUUGUUGUUACUUGUUAUAUUUUCAUCAUUGUCUCUGUUUUCUUUGUAUCUGCAUUUGUUGCACUUGAGCCAAACAUCUAUUGAAAAUAGCAUCUCUAUUUCCACGAGGUAGUGGUAAGGACUAUGUACAUUCUACCCUUCCCAAACGCCACUUGUGGGAUUUCACCGCGUAUGUUGUUGUUGUUAACUUUAAAAUUUCUCUUUUACCCUUAAAUAAUAUGAUUUACAAUCACAUAAAUGUUUAAGGUUCGUUUAAAACCACAAAUUUCACUAGGUAUUUUCUUUCUUUAACUUUGUUUCAUGUCAAACAAUGUCACAUAAUAAAUUGAGACGAAGAGAGUAUUUGAUUUCUAAUGUUUGAACUAUUUUCAUUGUUAACAUUUAGGGAUGAGGCAGAUUGCAUCAAAAAGGUUGUUGACAAAUUAAUGUCAUUAUUACAUAUUGAAUCUGAUGACCAUUACAACGACGAUGUUUUAAAGGGCCCUAAAUCUCCAAUUCUUAUUGAUGGAGGCAAAAUGGUAUUGUUUCUUUUAUAAUUUGAAUCCUUUUAGUGAAAUUCGAUAUAUAUAAUUUAUUUUGUUAUUUUCGUGAAUAUUAGAAUUGAUUUGUCAUUUAUUCGAUAUGUUUUCUAGUUUCUGAUGUUUCAUGUUUGUGAUUUGAUCUGUCGAAUAGAGUUUUUCGCUGGAUAAAAAGACGGGGAAGAAAUGUUUUAUGGUAGCAGCAAGGGGACUUGAAAUUGAAUGGGGUGGUACACCAGAGUAUUGGGAAUGGUUAUCUCAUGUGGACUCAAGGUUUUAUAUAUUUGUGAUUCCUUUUUAUUACUAGAAUAAAUUUUGAAAGGAUCUGAACUAUUACUACAUGCCUAUAAUUAUUGAGCAAUGUGAAUUUUUUUUUUAGUUUCGCGGAAGUGGCUAAACUCAAGAGGGUUUGUUGGCUUGAUAUUCGAGGCAAAAUUGAAACUCGAAGACUGUCGAAAAGAACCAAAUAUGUUGUUUAUCUAGUGUUCAAAUUGGAAAAUAAAUGGCAUGGCCUUGAAACUGCUAAUGCAGUCGUUAGAUUUGUUGAUUCUGUGAGUGACAUUGACGCAGAGCAACGAGCUAGUGUUGUACAUUUUGCAGGACAAGGACCUAAAGAGACGCUACCCUUUAGAAGAGGUGAUGGAUGGAUGGAAUUAAAAAUGGGAGAUUUUUUCAAUGAUGCAGGAGAAGACGGAGAUGUAGAUGCACGAUUAAUGGAGACUAAACAUCUCGGUGAUAAAAGUGGCCUCAUUGUUCAAGGAAUGGAGUUUCGUCCCGAAUGAAGAAGAGAAGAAUCCUUCUCUUACUAUGACCUUUUGUUCAAUUAGUACUUUUAUAUAUGGCCUUUCUAAAGGAACGUAUUGAUCGAGAUGAUUGAAUUUGAUUAGAAAAUGCGCGUAAGUGGAAGAAGAAAGCUGAGGAGGCAGUUGCAGAACGCGGUUCGUCAGACAAAAAUAUGAAAGCAUUUGUGGAUGAACUGAAAAAAAUCCAUGCCAAGAAACAAGUAGAAAAUGUCUAGUUUUGUUUAACUACAUUCAUUUCAAGUGUAUAAUUCAAUCUAUGGGAUGUAAAUCGAGUAUGUUGUUGUUGUUUUUCUGCUUUCUAUAGCACGUUUCUACUAUUUGUUUAUAUAGCAUGUGAACUCUAACAAAUGGAAAGUGCCUGUUUCAAGAAAGCGGUCGUUCACGUCAAGAAUAGAGGUCUGUACUUUCUUUUCCUUUUGUUCAUCUAGAUUGUGUUGGUGUUCAAUGUACCACUUGUCUAGUCUGAUCUAUGCGAUCCUACAUAGAGUACAAGAUCGAAAAGAAUGCAUUGAAUGGAUGUCUGGUUAUAUGUUUGAAUAUAAAAUUAUAUGGAUAAGCAUCUCUUUAAAUUAGAAAUAAACAACAUCUAGUAGCUCUUAGGCAUAAGAUGUUCCUCAUCAGCUGACACAAAAGAUUUUCAAGGAAACAUACUUAUCUAGACGAGGUCAAUGGUCGAUCAAAAAGGCUCAACGACCUAGGCUAGUGACCUUCAUUGCACUUUGAAGGAGCAUCCAACUAAAGUAUGCCCAAGUGGUCGAGUCUAUAUCAUAAUUUGUGGUCAAGUUUUAUAAAAUUAAAUAAGUAGACAUAUAUACGCGUUCUACGUGACAAUCUACGUCGUAUGUGGCAUCUUACGUACAUCAUGUCGCGUGGGAUGCAUGUGUCUACUUUUUCAACUUCAUACAAGUUUUAAGUACCUACUUGUGCACUUCCAAAAUUGAAGAAUAUAAAUAUCAGCUAAGAUCAAGUUAAAAGACAUGCUUAUGUAUUAUAUUAAUAUUAUAUCUACAAAUAAUACAAUACAAUAAAAAAAAAAUAAUUAAAGUCAAUGAUCCAAAUAGAGUUUGUUUAGAAGUAACUACUUAUGAUUGUGACAUAACUAAAACUAUCUGAUCAAGUUGGCGAAAAGUUAAAUUAAUAAUCAAUUAACUAAAAGACCGAAUCAAAUUGAGUGACAAAAAGUCAAAUAAACCGACUUUUAAUAUGAAUAUUUUUACCUAUUGUUUCGUAAUGUAUGAUAAUGAAUUGUAUUAUUUUAAGCCAAGUCAUGCAUAAGAUAAGUAUAAAAAAAAUCAAAAUUAAUACAUAUUGUAUUUUCUUUAGUACUUUUUACCUAACGACCCUUGAAGUUGUUGAAAAUUUGGAAGACUUGAUGCUGCAGAGCCAAUAAUCCCGAGGUAAUAAAGUCUUUUAAGAUUGAAGCGAAGUUUGUUUGGUAGCUAAUUAGAGUUAUACAAGUAUUAGUUAUAUAUGAAUAAGUUAGGAGAGAAUCUAUAUAUUAUUUUAUACAAAGUAUAGUUAUUCAUGAAUCAUAUAUUGAUUAUUAAUAUUGUGCUUUUUCCACAUUCUAAAAACCCUACAUAAAAUAAUACAUACGUUUCCUCAUAACUUAUGCAUUUAUUAAUUAUGCAGAUUUUCAAAUUUUAAAUCAAAUAGUAUCAUAGUAACCUAAGAUCUAAUACACGCGUAACGACACUUAUGACUUUUCUUCACCUUCUUGGCAAGGGAUAAGUCAAAAGUCUUCUUAAAUUACUUGUUUUUAGUACGUACUCUUUAUUUUCUCUCAUUAAUUUUUUUGAAAAAAAAAGUAGGGUACAUUUUUUAUGAUUUCAAUGAGGAACAUGAUAAGAAGUUACCAUAAAGACUAUGAAUAAAUAGUGAAAAAAGGUGGUGUCUUGUUCUUCAUUAAGUCUUUAGCAAUUAUAACUUAUAUUCAUCAACAAUAAUGUCACACACUUUUUCUUCUGAAAUUCACAAGUACGAUGCAUUUCUGAGUUUUAGAGGUGAAGAUACACGAAAAACAUUCGUGAGUCAUCUCUAUAACGCUUUAAUACAAGGAAGAAUUGAUGUUUUCAAAGACGAUGAGCGUCUAGAAACCGGAAAUUCAAUUUCUGAUGAACUGCCAAAAGCCAUAGAAGAGUCUAAAUUUGCUAUAGUGAUAUUUUCUGAAAGCUAUGCAUCGUCAAAAUGGUGUUUAGACGAGCUUGCACACAUCAUAAAGUGUCGAAAGGAAUUGAAACAAAUCGUAAUUCCUAUUUUCUAUAAUGUGGAUCCAUCAGAUGUGCGUCAUCAAACUCAAACUUUUGCUGAGUCUUUUUCCCAACAUGAGGAAAAAUACAAAGACGAUAUGGAGAAGAUUCAAAGAUGGAGGGAUGCAUUUGCGGAGUCUGGGAAAAUAUCAGGGUAUCAUUUGCAAAACUACAAGUAAGAUUACUUUUCUUUGUCUUAUUAACUGCUAAGUCAAACAUGUCAUAUAAACGGAGUCAGAGAGAAUAUUUAAUUUGAUUUCUAAAGUUCGAUGUAAAUAGUUGUUCUUUUCAUUGUUACAUUUAGGGAUGAGGCAGAUUGCAUCAAAAAGGUUGUUGAAAGACUAAUGUCAGUAUUACAUAUUGAAUCCGAUGACGAUGGUGUCCGUGCCUUCAUACGGGGCAUGGACAAUAACUCUCCAAUUCUUAUUGAUGGAGGCAAAAUGGUAUUAUUUCUUUUAUAAUUUGAAUCCUUUUAGUGAAAUUUGAUAGAUAUCUAUCUUAUCACGUCCAUUAAUUAAGUACCUAGUUGUUAGUUUCAAAAUUGUGUUAGUUGACCCUUGAAAAUAUUGUUUCAAUUAUCAAUACAAAAUCCUAUUUAGUAAGUAAUAUAAUGAUCAAUAGUCUUUAAAAUACCAAAUAAUAUGUAUACAUGUUUUUUUUAUAAAUGAUUAAUUCACACUUGACAUAUGUCCAUAACUAAAAUUACAUAUGCAAUUAUAGUUUUAUUCUUUUACUGCGUUAUUUUCGUAAAUACUAGAAUUUAGAUUAAUAAAUAACUAAUUGUCAAUGAAAAGGACCAAUGUCUAUGUGUACCGUGUUACAUGUAUGGGUGAAACUGUGGAAGUCAUGUCAAGUGGGCAGGGUCAGUCCAUGACCGAUCCAACCCGACCUGAUAAGAAAGGGCCAAUGACUAGGCUGCCCCAUUCAUAAGGGUUGUUGGGUGGUCAGGGUCCAGACACAGGCCAACUACUAGCUUGGCCCAUUCAUUAUGAUUGUUGAGUGGUCUCUAUAGGACCUUUUUCGAUUUGUUUUCUAAUUUAUGAUGUCCUAUGUUUGUUAUUUGUCUUGUCAAUCAGAGUUUUUCGUUAGAUAAGAAGAGGAAGAAAUGUUUUAUGAUAGCAGCAAGGGAACUUGAUAUUGAAUGGAGUCAUAAACCAAAGUAUUGGAAAUGGUUAUCUCACUCUGACUCCAGGUUUUAUAUAUUCGCAGUCCCUUUCCAUAUUUUAGUAUAAAAUUGGAAAGAAAUCAGUAAUAAUUAUUGAGCAAGGUUAAUUUUUUUUUUGUAGAUUCGCGGAAGUGGCUAAACUCAAGAAGGUCUAUUGGCUUGAAAUUCAAGGCAAAAUUGAUUCUCGAAGACUGUCAAAAAGAACCAAAUAUGUUGCUUAUCUAGUGUUCAAAUUGGAAAAUCAAUUCUAUGGCCUUGAAACUGUUAAUGCAGUUGUAAGAUUUGUUGAUUCUAUGAGUAAAAAAGAUGCGGAGAAACGAGCUAGUGUUGUGCAUUUUGCAGGACGAGGACCUAGAGAAACGCUACCCUUCGAAAGAGCUGAUGGAUGGAUGGAAUUAAAAAUGGGAGACUUUUUCAAUGAUGCAGGAGAAGACGGAUAUGUUGAUGCGCGAUUAAUGGAAACUAAGAAACUCGAUGAAAAAAAGGGCCUCAUUGUUCAAGGAGUGGAGUUUCGUCCCGAAUGAAGAAGAGAAGAAUCCUCCUCUAACUAUGCCCUUUUGUUUUGGUUUCAUUUUGAUAUUGAGGGGUGCUUACCAUCCGAGCAACUCCCUCUCGUCAAACAUUUUAAUAUGAUUCUACAAGUUUUACUUUUUUUACAGUCCAAAAGAGGCGCUACAUUUUUGUUUUAGAAGAGAGUAUAACAACAUUAUGAGUAUCUAUUUCUUCCCAAGUAACUUAAAACAAAUCAAAGUUUAAAUACUACGAUCUUUCCAUCUCAAAUUAUUUGUCAUGAUUUUUUAAAAUAAUCAUCUCGACUUUUUUGUCAUUUUAGAAGUUCAAGAUAAAAUUAAUUAUUUAUUUCAUAUUUUAGCUAGAGAGUAGUAAUAUUCUUGAAACUACAAGCACUUCAAUACAUAAGUAGAGAAAAUAUUCAAUUUAAAGAGAUUAUAUAAAUAAGUAGAGAAAUUGUAUUUGAUUGCGUAGGCGGGCAUUAUUUAUGGGAGGGUGCCCACCUAGUGUCAUUGUGCAUGUAUGAGAUCUCGCACAAGUAAUAUCAUAUUUGAUGACUUGAAAUACGAAGAUGAUAAGAAGUUCCCAUAAAGACUAUGAAUAGUUUUUACGAUGCUUUUCUGAGUUUAGAGGUGAAGAUACGCGUAGAACAAUAGUUUUAACAAUCCUAAUUAAAUAUUAAUAUGGUCAUCUUCAAACUUUUACAUUGACAUUGGAUACAACACAACUCCAAUUAAUUGGUCCAUAUUGAAGAUAUCCAUUACUAGGCCUACCGAUUUAAUAGUACUAGAGAAAUUCCAUCCUCAAAUUUGGUGGAAAAUAUCAAACAUUAAGCUUUCAAUGUCAUAACAACUUAGAGUAAUUAAUUAAUAAUCUUAUCAGAUUACCAUAAUAUUUUGUUAUUCAAUAGUACUAUAUAUUUAGUUUAGUUUCUAACGUAAUAACUAAAAUAGGGGACCUUUGUAAUUUUGUAUCGUGACACCUUUAUCUAGACGAUAUGUUAUUUGUCUCUGAUUGAGCCUGAUAUAUGCUAAGGCAAAAUUUUCAUCAGAAAUUUUAUCAUUUACUAUAUUUGAAAUCGAUGAUAUUGUAUCUAUACGUCGCAAUAGACGAUGGUUUAAUUAUUAGUCCAAAAAAAAUCAUCGUUUAGUGUAUUGCACACCAAUUUUUCAGCCCAGCAGACUCUUUUAGAGAAAAACUUCAUUCCUUUUUAGUUGUCAUGAUUUUCUUUUUUAGAUUCAAAUGAUAAGAAUUUUGACUAACAAUUUACGAUGUAUUUUUUAUCAUAUUGAUAUGCAAAAAAUUGUAAUUUAUAGUAAUUUUCGUAUAGUUUUUGAAUAUCUAAAAUUUUAAUUUAAAAUAUCGAAUUAAUAUAAUCUAAUUUAACUUUGAAAAUUAGUCAAAUUAUCUUUCGGAAAGCGCAACAUUACAACGAAAAAGGAAUGGAGGCCGAGUAUCAAAUAUAUGGUAUUACUUAAUUGUGCGAGAUCUAAUAUACGAUGACGUACACUUAGAGGUCGUUUGAUAGGGUGUAUAAAAAUAAUGUUAAAUAGAGUAUUAGUUAUGCUUGUAUUCACUAUACAUAAAUUAUUUUUUAUGCAUUGUUUGGUUUGGUGUACAAAAAAUAACAUGAAUUGCAUAAAAAAUUUCAUUUAUAAAAAUAUCCUCCACAAUUAUGAUGGAAAAGAUGUAAAAAGGGGUUUUGAGGGGUAAUUGAGGUUGUAACCAUACUAAUACAUGUAUUGAAUCUCUUUGUGUUACUAAUACCUAGAAAUCAAUGAUAUUAGUAAUACACUCUUUCAUACACAAUAAAGUGUAUAACUAAUGCAUGCAAACAAGAUACUAUUAAUACACAGAGUUAAUGCGUGCAUUAUUUUUGCUAAUACACUCCACUGACACCUCAAGAUUUUUCUUGGCUUUUUUCGCCAAGGUCUAAGUCAAAAGUCUUCUUACCUGUAUUUUGUACGACCUCACUAAUGAAAAAGUAGGUUACAUUUUCAUGACUUUGAAAUAGAAUUAUAGAAACAUGAUAAGACCAUAAAGACUAUGAAUAAAUAGUGAAAAAAUUAGGUAAAGUGUUGUUCUUCAUUAAGUUGAGAAUUUCCCUAUUAGUUUUUAGCAAUUGUAACUAAUACUCUUCAACAAUGUCAAACACUUCUUCUUCCAAAAUUCAAAAGUACGAUGCUUUUCUGAGUUUUAGAGGUGUAGAUAUACGUAGAACAUUUGUGAGUCAUCUCCAUAACGCUUUAAUACAAGGAGGAAUUAAUGUUUUCAAAGACGAUGAACGUCUAGAAACUGGAAAAUUAAUUUCUGAUGAACUACCAAAAGCCAUAGAAGAGUCUAAAUUUGCUAUAGUGAUAUUUUCUGAAAGCUAUGCAUCGUCAAAAUGGUGUUUAGACGAGCUUGCACACAUCAUAAAGUGUCGAAAGGAAUUGGAUCAAAUCGUAAUUCCUAUUUUCUAUAAUGUGGAUCCAUCAGAUGUGCGUCAUCAAACUCAAACUUUUGCUGAGUCUUUUACCAAACAUGAGGAAAAAUAUAAAGAUGAUAUGGAGAAAAUUCAAAGAUGGAGGGAUGCAUUUGCUGAGUCUGGGAAAAUAGUAGGGCACCAUUUGCAAAAUUACAAG